rnacentral:lncRNA from 1 species
CGGCCAUUCCCCCGCGCCUUGAGUUCAGCCGGCGGAACGCCUGACACUGGGAAGGUUUUUUUGGGGGGGUUAUCGGGGGGAGACUAACCUUCGGGGACAACACAAUUCCGGUGCCCCGGAUCCUCGGCAGGGAACCAGGGCGGGGGGUGUGUGGGGAGAUGAGCAAAGAGAGCAGAGAAAGAGGAAGAGAGACCCCCCCCCAGCCCUCCCGGUCCACCCUUCUGCAGUCCCCACCAAGGUGGCCUGGGAGCUCGCAGCUCGCUGGGCUGCGGGGAGUACGCACAACACCCCCCUCCUCUAGAAGUCCCCCCAGCCCCCUCCGCAGUACCCCCCAGUCCAGCGCGGACGGUCGAGGGGGAGGCCAGGCCGGGAGCGCGGGCCCGGAGCGCCGGGGGCGGAAGCGCGAAACGGUAGAGACCUACUUUUGGCUAGCUUUCUGGCCCUCGCCUUGGAUCUCAUGUUGUCGGCUGGCUGAAUCCCUCUCCUCCUCCUUGACUCCCGAAGCUGCUACACGCUAUCUUCAUCUCCCCAGCAUUGUCAAUUCCGGACACCUUCGCACAUGCGCACAGAGCCUUCAAUCUGACACCCCUCGCCGGGGCCAAAAAAACUUUCCAAUGUAUUCACCAUCAUCACCAUCACCAUCAUCACCAUCAUCAUCAUUGGCGGCGGAGGCGCUGAGUACGGGCUGGAGGUGGGAUUGCUUUGGGGGGACAUUUUCUUCUUUCUUUCUUUCUUUCUUUUGGGGGGGUGCUCUCCUCUUCCUCACCUCACUUGUCUCCCCCCUUCCUCCUCCCUUCUUCCCCCUCCCCCUCCCCCUCUGCCUCCUUCUCAACCACCUCGGAGCCUCUCACGACUGGCCCUUUAAGAGAAUAUUCCGUCCUCUCUCCGCGCUCCUGCCCCCGGCCGGCCCCACAGCCCGGACGCGCUUUCACCGGAUCAAGCCCAGUGUCUGGCCAGCAAGGAGAGGCACUGAAGCCGAGAGACCAAUUGGGAGAGACUGCAGGACGAGCCGGCUCAGAACGUAUGCUCCUCCCAACUCCCUCCCCAGGAAAACCUGCCCAAGGCAUAAAGUCGCUCCCAAAAUGCUUCUCAGAUCCAUGAGAGGACUCUGUUCUAGCCUUCAAUGGAGCUCAUGCAGUUUUCUCCACCUAAGCCCCGAGGGGAAAGCCCUGGCAUCUCUAGGAGGGUUCUGGAAGCAGUUCGAGAGUUAG